rnacentral:rRNA from 1 species
AGGACGAACGCUGGCGGCGUGCUUAACACAUGCAAGUCGAGCGGUAAGGCCUUUCGGGGUACACGAGCGGCGAACGGGUGAGUAACACGUGGGUGAUCUGCCCUGCACUUCGGGAUAAGCCUGGGAAACUGGGUCUAAUACCGGAUAUGACCUCCUAUCGCAUGGUGGGUGGUGGAAAGAUUUAUCGGUGCAGGAUGGGCCCGCGGCCUAUCAGCUUGUUGGUGGGGUAAUGGCCUACCAAGGCGACGACGGGUAGCCGACCUGAGAGGGUGACCGGCCACACUGGGGACUGAGACACGGCCCAGACUCCUACGGGAGGCAGCAGUGGGGAAUAUUGCACAAUGGGCGAAAGCCUGAUGCAGCGACGCCGCGUGAGGAUGACGGCCUUCGGGUUGUAAACCUCUUUCAGCAGGACGGAAGCGCAAGUGACGGUACCUGCAGAGAAGCAACCGGCUAACUACGUAGCCGAGCAACGCCCGC